UACGUAGGUGGCAAGCGUUGUCCGGAUUUACUGGGUGUAAAGGGCGUGUAGGCGGGAUUGCAAGUCAGAUGUGAAAUACCGGGGCUCAACUCCGGAGCUGCAUUUGAAACUGUUAUUCUUGAGUGGUGGAGAGGCAAGCGGAAUUCCCGGUGUAGCGGUGGAAUGCAUAGAUAUCGGGAGGAACACCAGUGGCGAAGGCGGCUUGCUGGACACUAACUGACGCUGAGGAGCGAAAGCGUGGGGAGCAAACAGG
rnacentral:rRNA from 1 species